rnacentral:rRNA from 1 species
GACGGAAGGUGCAAGCGUUGCUCGGAAUCACUGGGCGUAAAGGGUGCGUAGGCGGCCGUGCAAGUCUGGCGUGAAAGCCCCGGGCUCAGCCCGGGAAGUGCGCUCGAAACUGCGCGGCUCGAGUGCCGGAGGGGAGAGUGGAAUUCCUGGUGUAGCGGUGAAAUGCGUAGAUAUCAGGAGGAAUACCGGUGGCGAAGGCGGGUCUCUGGGCCGAUACUGACGCUGAGGAGCGAAAGCGUGGGGAGCGAACAGG